AGAGUUUGAUCCUGGCUCAGGACGAACGCUGGCGGCGCGCUUAACACAUGCAAGUCGAGCGAGAACCAGGACUUCGGUCCUGGGGACAGCGGCGAACGGGUGAGUAACACGUGGGUAAUCUGCCCUCGAUUCUGGGAUAGCCCGGGGAAACCCGGAUUAAUACCGGAUAGCCUUCCAGGUUCUUGGACCGGGAAGAAAAGGUAGCUUCGGCCUCCGAUCGAGGAUGAGCCCGCGGUGGAUUAGCUUGUUGGCGGGGUAACGGCCCACCAAGGCGACGAUCCAUAGCUGGUCUGAGAGGACGAUCAGCCACACUGGGACUGAGACACGGCCCAGACUCCUACGGGAGGCAGCAGUGGGGAAUCUUGCGCAAUGGGCGAAAGCCUGACGCAGCGACGCCGCGUGGGGGAAGAAGGCCUUCGGGUUGUAAACCUCUUUCAGGUGGGACGAAGCCACUCGGGUUAAUAGCCCAGAGGGUGACGGUACCACCAGAAGAAGCCCCGGCUAACUACGUGCCAGCAGCCGCGGUAAUACGUAGGGGGCAAGCGUUGUCCGGAUUUAUUGGGCGUAAAGAGCGUGUAGGCGGCCAGGUAGGUCGGUUGUGAAAACUGGAGGCUCAACCUUCAGACGUCGACCGAAACCCCCUGGCUAGAGUCCGGAAGAGGAGAAUGGAAUUCCUGGUGUAGCGGUGAAAUGCGCAGAUAUCAGGAAGAACACCCGUGGCGAAAGCGGUUCUCUGGGACGGUACUGACGCUGAGACGCGAAAGCGUGGGGAGCGAACAGGAUUAGAUACCCUGGUAGUCCACGCCGUAAACGAUGGGUGCUAGUGGGGGGGGGGGUGUCGACUCCCCCCGUGCCGAAGCUAACGCAUUAAGCACCCCGCCUGGGGAGUACGGCCGCAAGGCUAAAACUCAAAGG
rnacentral:rRNA from 1 species